UAUAUAUAUGACUAAAAAAAGUCAUUAUCCAUAUUUCUCUAAGGAGGAAAUUGAAAAUAUUGUUAUGAAGGAUCCAGGAAGCCUAUACCUCUAACUGCUCUAUACUGGCACAAGAUAUAAUAAUUCAUACUGAUCUUUCUCGGUGAGAUAACAGAUAGUAGGCAAGAGUUCAUUUGAAAAGUGAAACAAAAUACAUUCUGAAUGCCGUUUCUCAUUAUCUACCCAGCUUUAGUGAUGAUAAUGUGUGUGGCGACUGUGCCUAGUGGAUAAUACUUGAAAUAUGCCUAACAAAAAUGUGAAUUUAUUCAUUUUUAUGUAGGUCAAUCAAACAUCUGCCUGGAGACCUCAUUUAAUUCAGGUCAAAAGAGGCAGCAACCGUCCACAUUCAGUAGACUUGACAGCAAACAUCAAAAGACAGCCAUUUUAGAUCCUCCCCAAUGCUCCUCCCUGACACACAUUUUAUUUAGAAAAAAAAAAAAUAGGUUCCCAAGUAAGAGGGAGGCUCCUGAGAGAAGAGAAGCAGAGCAUGGUGUCAUCAGUCAACACAUGUAUUGUUGGGAAUUCAUGUUCUGUCUGCUGGUCUUCCCCAACCGCUGGUUCUCCUGCACCCACCAAAUCGCAGGCCAUUGCUCUGAGAUGCGCCUUCUUUGUUCUCACACAAUUCUCACCCUGCUGAGCAGUGAUGGAAUUUGGGGGUGUGUUUCCAUAGAAUCCUGUGCAUCCAGAGACCAUGGGAGGAGAUUAGGUUCUGUCUCUGAGCUAGGAUACUGCUUUGUCAGAUCACUUGCUAUGGAAUUUGAUUUUUCAUAGGCAGUCCCACCUGGAAUCACAGACUCCUUGCAUAUCAGAAUUAUUUAGCUCUUGCUGACAGCAGCCAUUCAUUCCCUAGGAAUGGUGCCUCUGGCCUUUGGAGAGACCCUCACCUGAGUCUGAUUUUCUUGUUUGCUUUAGUCUCCAUUCUCUUUCCUCCUGGUGUUUUAUGCUUUUACUUUUUUUAAUUGUUCCCUUGCUUAUUUAUGCUCUCUUACUUUUAUUUGACUCUCAUUUUUCUUCAGAGCAAUAGUGCUUUGAGCUUUUUCAGUCCUUUGUCUCCUAUACCUAGGUCAUUAAUUAUUUCAUAGAUGAAAAAAAAAUGGAGUUAAAGGAUUCUCUGGCUUUGGCGUGAUACUUCUUUCUUGGAACAAAAUGGAUAGGAAGAAGGAAUGGCUUGAAAGAAACAUGUGAGAGGACUUAGAAGGGUCAGAUAGAAAGGUCUAGGAAGGCUUCACAAUAUGGGUGUACUAUGCAGGCUUUAUACUUCUUCUUGGCAUGCUAAAGAGAACUAGGUGCCUAUGGGAAGGCAGAAACAGGUGUCUAUCACUAGAACACAGCUCUGUGGGAAAGGCUCACUCUGUUUACUUGUAAAACUCUUGAGUAGGCCCAACACAGCAGCUGUGCAACAGAUGAGUGCUGGUUUCCUGGCUGAAGGAGCAUGUCUCAUCUCUUACUCGGCUUGAAAAUGGUCCUCGUUUCAAUGGUAGGCUUCAGAGUGGGCCUAAAAGGGAAGUGAGUGGAGGCCUGAAGCUUUGAUAAACGUAAUGAAUACUUUCUGGCUUUGAAAAUGUAGCCUGAGAUGUGCCGUGGUGACACACCUCUUUGAUCCUAGCACUGGAGAAACAAAGGCAGGAGGAUCUCUGUGAGUUCCAGGCCAUUCUGGUCUACAGAGUGAGUUCUAGGACAGCCAGGGCUACCUGGAGAAACCAUGUCUUGGAGAGGAGUAAAGGAAUCUUAAAUAUGUGUUUUCUCCAAGGGGUCAUCUAAGGACUGAGCUCUCUGACAAAUACCUAAAAGUGUGACAGUGGUGGUGAAAAUUGGAGAUUAAUAUCCUAGAGGGCACAGUCCUGACUGGUUCAUUGUGGAUAGGUCCAUGAGUGCCAUGGGUCAGCUCCUUAGCAGUGUGUGUGACAAGAUCCCUGAACUCCUGUCUCCGUUUCAGGGAUGUAUCUACUCUUUGCUUCCAUCCACACAUGUGCUGAAGAUAGGACUGUGUCUAGUGGGAAGCCUAGCUCAUAAUGAAGUCAUUUAUCCAACUUGAACCCAAGUAUGGGAAAUAUGUUCAGAAUACAUAUAUUGAUAGCCACAUGGGUGCCAAUUAGUAAUAACGUGUUUAAAUACAUAUCAAUACAGCGUCCCAAAGGUAUGGUAUAGGUUUUCAAAGGGACUAUGCUGUUAUAUGAAGGUGAAUAUUUGACCUUAUAACCUUUAACCCAUUCCUUCUAAUGAACUAGCUAUAACAAAUAAGUUCGAAGUUAAAAAAAGUUCUCAGGAAAAGUAUUUCAUCCCAUUUAUUGGGAAUUUGGCUGUGAAGUGUUGUAUGUCCUCAAGUUUAGCAGUGUACUGGGCAACAGACUGUCACCAACAAAUUAACAGUGAUUUUCAAAAACGCCCAUUUUGAUGCCUAGAAGACACGAUUAGAUGAUAAGGUAAUACUAAAGCUAUCACUUCAGUUUCUACUUUGGAAAAAGGGAUACAAAUACUGAGGCUCCAUUUUCCAGGAGUAUUUCUAAACAAAUCAGGCAUGAAAAGGGAUAUUCAAUGAAAAUGUUUAACAAUGUUUGUAUCUAGACAUUUUUAGUUGAUCUUGCCUUAAUCCUUAAGUAACUGUUCAGUUAUUUCAGAGUCUAUUAAAUAGUCAAAUUACACUGAACAAAUUCCAGGAUAUAAAAAUAUUUCUUUCACAGGAUCUAAGAGGCCAAUAAGUAGUCAAUGGACACAUGUGCUCAAAAUUCUUCUCGUAAAAUCCCACCAGUAUGUACAACUUUUAAUCUCUAGUUUCCCUCAGUGCCAUAAUGAAAUACCAUUUGCUGAGAUCUACUUUGAUCUGUCACCCUCAACUUAGUUGUCUUUUAUGAAUUUUGGAGUUAGUAGGUUUUUGAUUAUUUAGAUUUUGUUACUUGAGCUUCACAUUAGCUUAUUUUUAUCCAUAUUCUCCUUCAUCUAUCUUAAAAAGGUAGCUUAAAUGACAUAAUUGUCACCAAAGGCUAUCUUCUAUAACUGUCCUGACUGUAACGGGCAGGGAGUCGAGGUGUGCUUAGCCACUUUUUGGUCAGGUGACACACUUGUACUUUUAGAGAUUAUAGGCUGUACUCACAGGUCCACCGUAGCCAUAUCCUUCCCACAAUGCAACACUUGGACAGCCAGUGGUGCUUUAAAAAAUGAUACAUGAUUGCAUUUAUUUAAAACUGUCUAAAUAGCAACUAUAGAAAGGAUUAACACUAAAAUGGGCCUUUUCGUUAGUUAAAUGAAAUCAAUUAUCUUCCGAUUUCCCACAGGCUGUGAUUUACUGUUAUUGAAUUCUGAUCAUGAUUGAAAAGCCAUUUUCUUCUUUGAUUGAAACAUCUCUCUGCAGUGAAGAAGCCAAAAGGAAGUCCUAUUCUAAAUCUACAUUUGCUACAACAGGACCCUGAGAGCCUGACAUCCACAACUACUGAAAACAGUGAGUCAGUGAGAACUUCAGUACAAAGCAAGACUGAGCUCACCACACUUAAAUUAUUCAUCUCUGUAUCUGGUGAACUGUCCAUCUCUUCCAGUCAGCCUUCCUACACAGUGUUUCUCCUGGAAGCCCACAGGUACCUAAAAGCUUCUUGAAGACUGCUUUUGAUUUCUCACUAUACAUGGCAUUAUUAGCUACAACCUCAAGCACAUUCAAGCUUCUGUAUGGUCACUUAGACACAAAGCAGAGCAUCUGUGUACCUGUGGCAUGAUGAGAUGAUGGGGCAACUGGCUUCUAUGUACACUGAAUUACAUCAGUAUUUGUCACGAUUAUUCCCAACCACCAGUAAAAAUUCAUGAAGUGCUAUAUAUGAUAAGUAUAAUAUGUGAAAUAUACCUAGCUAUUUUGCUAGUAGAAAUUAAAUAAAAGUAUGAGUCCUUCUGUAUUACUCUACAUCCCAAGUCCAUAUGGUUCCUCUUUUGUGAAAUCUACUUCAGUAAAUAUGGGAUAUUUUACCUAAUUCCUGUAUCUCCUAGCUAGCGAUUCUUCAAGACUUUAUGAGAAUGCUGAUGUUACAUGGUGUAAAAUAUUUACACAAGUAAUAAUUCCUUUCUUUAAGAAUUAAAAUUAGAAAUUUAAAGUCCUGUUUUUAAAAAGUACCUUGUUUCAUGAGCAUUUUGAUUGGAAAAAAAAAAUCUCUAUUCAUAUCACCAGCUUUCUACAUGUUUCCUCUUUGUCAAUUAAAUAUAAUCAAUUUUAAUUAUAUAUCUCUUCAGUAAAAAUAACAGCACUGAAUUGUAGUAAAACAUAUUUGAUACUGAAAUUGGAGAUUUUAUUAUUUUAAAUAUUUAUCACUUUAAACCUGUUCUGUCAAUAUUUUUUCAAGCUACAAUGAGCACAACGGAGAAGUUGGCUAGGCUGUUGAUAUCAGCAUGCAAAAGGCUCCAGAGAGCUUGAAGUAAUUGCUCUGCAGCUCAUGCAAAUUUAAGGAUGCAGCUGAAGCAUGAUUCAAGACAAGAGAAAAGAACUCUACUAAGAACCAUUCAUUUCUGCAAGAAUUUUCAUAGAAAUGAAGUCAAGAGAAGCUAUCAAUGGUAGACAGGACAGUAAAUCCAAAUACCUCUCUUAGACCAAUACUAUUACAUUGCCACCCUGCUGGUCCAAAUUUAAUGCAAUAUCUAACACUAAGCAUGUUAUAAGUAACAACACAGAAAAUAUUAUCUGACCUAUACAUUUCACAAUCUAAUGAAAAUAGGUUUACAGUUCAUUUAUUUUAAAGU
rnacentral:sRNA from 1 species